rnacentral:lncRNA from 1 species
CUGCGCCGGGCACCUUAAAUUCUGAUUUCAUCUCCCAUCAUAUUCAACCUCGAGCUACUUCUACAGUCCUACUCGAGUAGUUCUUCAUCUCCUUCGCCCACUUGAAGCACUGUAUGUAUCUCAGUCUUCAAUUCUCCUUCGGCAGAGCUCUGGACACAGCUACACCCAAAGGAGAACGGGUACAAACCAUCUUAAGCAUCUUGAGUGUUGGUUCAAUUUUUGAUUAAUGGCUGGAAUGGGUUUCUUCCAAAUUGAAGCUCAAUUCCAUCACCAGUAUUCUCUCAUCUCUCAAAUGGCUUCUCUUUUUUUUUUUUUUUUUUUUUUUUCUUCUUCGUAUGGGUUACUCACAUGAUGCAGCCUUAAAUAGAAUCAUAGCAAAUUUGUUGAUCAAAUUUACUUACUUUUAUUGUUCGAGUUCACAGUAUUGAUUAAAUUUCUUUGUUUUUUUGUUGUUGUUUAAGUUCAUCAGUUGACGGGAACUCUCAAAAGAGAAAGAGAAAGAGGACGUCAUACGGUUUGAUGUGUUUUGUAAAAGAUGAACAUGAAUGAUUUUUCUUUUUUGGUCAGAGAACAUGAAUUUAUUCAAGACAUAAACAAUUUGUUUUUCUUAGUUUCCUUUUGCUGUAUGGGAAAACUGAAGAUGGAGUUUGGGAGGAGAGAUUACCUGUUAGUGGAGUGGGUAUGUAAACCCAAAUGAAUGAUAGUCAAACUAGUCUCUCCAAGGAAAAAGUGCCUGAAAAUAUCUCCUUCUCUCUCUAGAGAAAAACUUUCUUUUCUUUGAGAAAGAACCCAGGUCUUCCCCUCUUCCCCUCUCUCUCGUCAAGGAUCUAGAUCUCAGAUCUGGAUCUUUGGCUUGAGAGUAGUGGGAGUUUCCUCUGCCUCGAUGAUGGCGGGUCCCUUUUUUCUUUUGCUUUUGUUUUCCUCUACUGCUCAAAUCCCUUCCGAUCUUUCCUAGCCUUUCGAUUUUGGAUUUCCCAUCUCUUUCAACCUUCUCCAAUACACCAGAUCUUUGAUUCUUCAUGCCUAAGAUGCACAUCCUCCUUCAGCAGACCUAACUUCACCGAUUGUUCGUUGGUCCUUCGGAGCUCCGAUGCCGGCGUCGUUUGGAUCGUCUGUUUCAAAAGGGUUUUCCCGUUAUUGCACGUAAAUCCGAUGGUCUCGAUAGUGCCAAAAGAGGCUGCUUGUCUGUCUCUACUUUGAUUCCUUUGCGGAUCGACUCUUUCUCUCUCAUCUCUUCUUCUUUUUUGUACUUUUUUGGUUCUGAUGUUAGUUUUAGAGGAUGUUUUGUAUGGUUCAAAGAUAUGGGUUAUGGAGAUCCUUGUAGGGGUUAUAUUCUUCUGUUCUUGUAUGGGAUUGUAUUGGUUGAUUUUCGAGUUUUCUUCGGCAGAUCUAGUGAUGGUCCUGGGUUAUGUUUGGGUGGUGAUGGUGGCGUCAGCGUCUCCAUACCCCUUGCUCCUGAUUAAUCUGCUCCUGUGGAUGAAGCUUGUUGAUGCUAUGAUGUUCUGGGUUUAUGUAUGGGUUUAUGUAUCUAACUCCAUGAGUGAGUCUUGUUUUUAAUUUUUGUAUUCAAUUCUGUUGAAUAAAAAUAUCCUGCCUUUGCCACACAAAAAAAAAACCCAAAUGAAUGAUGAAUCGAUGUAGGUUUUUGUGAAUUGAAAAGUCAAAUAGCUAGGUUUUAAUAGGUAAUUAAGAUUGUUUUUUGUUUUUUAUUUCAUUAUUCAUUUUUGUUUGGAAUUUAUUUAUUUUAGGGUUUGAUGGGUGAAAAUGUCUAUCUUGCCCUUAACUUUCGACUCAACUUAAUCACAUAUGGUCAGCAUUAACGUUGAUGUGACGGAAGUGAACUGUAGGUACUAUAAAAAUAUGAAAAUAUGAGUCUGGGUACUAUUUUGAUAACUUUGUAAGUUCAGGUAUCAUAUUGUCAAUCAUUCAAGUCUCCAAACACCGUUGGUGCAAAAAAUCCCAUUAACAAUGGGUGCUGAAAUCUACACACCUUUUUUUACAAACCACACACCCUUUGUUUUUUUAAUAAUAUCAUACCUCACAUCCUUUUAUACUUCCUGCUGUUGUAAAUAUUAUAAUAUAUGUGGAUGUCCUUGUAAAUACUCAUUAGUAUGUCCUUAAUAUGUAAAUCAUACUCCUAUAUAAAGGAGCCUAAUGAAAAUGAAAGUGACACUUCUUUCUCCUCCUACAUUUUGUUCUUCUCUUUUCUCUCUAUCUCAUUCUUAGUUUAUAACACGUUAUCAGCACGUUUUCGCUCAUUCGUUUCAUAAACUCCAUGACGAUCUAUGAGAUAUUGGUGCAACUUUUGUUGCUUAUUAUCCAUACUCACGAUCUAUG